rnacentral:rRNA from 1 species
UACGAAGGGGGCUAGCGUUGCUCGGAAUCACUGGGCGUAAAGCGCACGUAGGCGGCUUUCUAAGUCAGGGGUGAAAUCCUGGAGCUCAACUCCAGAACUGCCCUUGAUACUGGAGAGCUUGAGUCCGGAAGAGGUGAGUGGAACUCCGAGUGUAGAGGUGAAAUUCGUAGAUAUUCGGAAGAACACCAGUGGCGAAGGCGGCUCACUGGACCGGUACUGACGCUGAGGUGCGAAAGCGUGGGGAGCAAACAGG